UUCAGGUGGAGUCGUCGUUGAAAUACCACUCUGGUCGUGCUGGAUGUCUAACCUGGGUCCGUGAUCCGGAUCAGGGACAGUGUCUGAUGGGUAGUUUAACUGGGGCGGUUGCCUCCUAAAGGGUAACGGAGGCGCCCAAAGGUUCCCUCAGCCUGGUUGGCAAUCAGGUGUUGAGUGUAAGUGCACAAGGGAGCUUGACUGUGAGACCGACGGGUCGAGCAGGGACGAAAGUCGGGACUAGUGAUCCGGCGGUGGCUUGUGGAAGCGCCGUCGCUCAACGGAUAAAAGGUACCCCGGGGAUAACAGGCUGAUCUUCCCCAAGAGUCCAUAUCGACGGGAUGGUUUGGCACCUCGAUGUCGGCUCGUCGCAUCCUGGGGCUGGAGUCGGUCCCAAGGGUUGGGCUGUUCGCCCAUUAAAGCGGUACGCGAGCUGGGUUUAGAACGUCGUGAGACAGUUCGGUCCCUAUCCGCUGUGCGCGUAGGAGUCUUGAGAAGGGCUGUCCCUAGUACGAGAGGACCGGGACGGACGAACCUCUGGUGUGCCAGUUGUUCUGCCAAGGGCAUGGCUGGUUGGCUACGUUCGGGAGGGAUAACCGCUGAAAGCAUCUAAGCGGGAAGCCUGCUUCGAGAUGAGG
rnacentral:rRNA from 1 species